rnacentral:lncRNA from 1 species
ACUAUGGCAUGGACCCUCAUCCUCGAGCCCCACUACUCAGAGGAGCUGGGAAGAAUUUCCACCCUUCCUAGUGGCAAGUCUCACUGUGAGAGCGGAGUGCCACCAGGCAAACAGGGCAGAAAGACUGCUUUAAGGAGAAUCCUUAUAUUGGGGGUUAUGAAGUGCAAUACACCCUCAUCCUCACGCUAACACUGGUACCAUGUAGCCCAAGCUUGUCUAACCUGCAGCCCGCGGGCUGUGUAUGGCCCAGGACAGCUCUGAAUGUGGCCCAACGCAAAUUUGUAAACUUUCUAAAACAUUAUGAGAUUUUUUUUUCUCAUCAGCUAUCAUCAGUGUGAGUGUAUGUUAUUUGUGACUCAAGACAAUCCUUCUUUUCCAAUGUGGCCCAGAGAAGCCAAAAGACUGGACACCCCUGAUGUGGCCCUUUCAUCCAUAGUAGCCUAUUUUGUCCUAAAGACGGUCUUGUGCAGUGAGUAGGCCAGGCCUCCCCACUACCACAGUUUACAGGCAAGGAAUGUGAUAUUUCAUAGGAUGACCCUGACUGGCACCUACAUUGCUAGCCAAAGAAUGGCACAAAGAUGUGGACAGAAGAGACAACCUUAAGCAGCUGACUGCUGGCUCCUGCAACAGUAUCAUCAUGGCAUUUGUCCUGGGGUCCCAAGGAAAGAAAACAAAUCUGUGGCUGAGGAACAGACUGAGUUGACAAAGCAGCUUCCACAGUAACACAAGGACAAAGGGUGUAUGUAGAUAUGCACGUGGUAGCAGGUUCUACUAAAGGAACCUGGACCGACCAUUCUAGUAUAUCGUGUAAAGAAAAGCCUUCCAAGGAGAAGCUUUGGGAAGCACUUCUGUAAUGAAUUACAUUGAGAUCUUCAGAGGACAGAAACUUAAUCUCGAGUUAGAGACAUGCUGUCAUUACCAAAACCACGUAUAGAGCAUCUCUCCUCAGUCAGACAAGAACCAAAGGCAACUGACGUGACUGCUCUCUCCUUGGAAGGACGGCAGGAGCCAUGGCGCUGUGAACUCAAACUUCAGGGAGCUUCAGACCCUCCUGCUUGUGACCAUACCCAUGCCUGGGCUCUUGACUAUUUAAAUGUGUUUUGAAAACAACUCUCAUUAUAGAAAUGAAAAGCCUGAAGCUUUCUCAGCAAAAAAGGUUUAACUGAUGAUACUCUACAAAGAAUAAAUACAUCAAUCUAAUUGAACCAACCAAA